UGAACCUUUACUAUAGCUUGACACUGAACAUUGAGCCUUGAUGUGUAGGAUAGGUGGGAGGCUUUGAAGUGUGGACGCCAGUCUGCAUGGAGCCGACCUUGAAAUACCACCCUUUAAUGUUUGAUGUCCUAACGUGGACCCGUAAUCCGGGUUGCGGACAGUGUCUGGUGGGUAGUUUGACUGGGGCGGUCUCCUCCUAAAGAGUAACGGAGGAGCACGAAGGUUGGCUAAUCCUGGUCGGACAUCAGGAGGUUAGUGCAAUG
rnacentral:rRNA from 1 species